GCUGGGAUAGCUCACUCGGUACAGUGUGAGAAUCUUAAUCUCAGUGUUGUGGGUUCGAGCCCCAUGUUGGGCA